UACAGAGGGUGCAAGCGUUAAUCGGACUUACUGGGCGUAAAGGGUGCGUAGGUGGUUUGUUAAGUUAGUUGUGAAAAUUCUGGGCUUAACCUAGGACUUGCAACUAAUACUGGCAGGCUAGAGUACAGUAGAGGGGAGUGGAAUUUCCGGUGUAGCGGUGAAAUGCGUAGAUAUCGGAAGGAACACCAGUGGCGAAGGCGGCUCCCUGGACAUGUACUGACACUGAGGCACGAAAGCGUGGGGAGCAAACAGG
rnacentral:rRNA from 1 species